AUACUCUGCUUCAUGGGUUUACAACAUGAAUCUUUGCUCCAAGUUCCUAAUCUUCGUGCGGAGGAGGAACGGGAGGCUUCUGCGAUAGCCGCCGUGGAGAAAUCCUUCAGUUUCAAAGCGAAACAACCUAUUGAGGUUGAUACCCUAAGCAGCACGAGUGAACUUUUGAUUUCAAGACUUCUGCCGGCGAUUCCAAAGGCAAAUCCUUUCGUUAUGGCUCAAAAAAGUUGAGAGAUGCUGAUCAAAUCUGAAUUUCUGGGUAAAUUUGGUGCCUUUAGAAGGCUUCAGUGCACUUCAAGGAAUUUUGGGUUCACAUAAGUUUCAGAUACACAAGGCAUAUAGCAGCCAUGAUCACUUGCCAUCUGCACAUACUUGAUUCAAUCAGUUGGUUUUACUUGAAUAUCCCUCCAAGGAAUUUCUAGAGGAGAAACUUUUGGUUGCAAUUCAUGAAGGCAAUGAAGGAUUUGGAUUUGGUUGAGUAUUAUGAAUGGGGAUUAUGUAGAUAAGGUCAUAUGUGAGACAAGUUGUAAGUAAUGGGAAAAGAGCUCUGGUAUAAGGUUUGAUCCUGGGAAGUUGGGUUGAUACAUGUUAACAUACUUGCUGAUUUAAUGGAAACAGAGGAGUUGAUUGCACAUGUUAUUGGAGGAAAAGUUUUUAGGCAGACUACUACUGGUAACAUACUUGUUGGCGGGCUAUUGUACUUUCUCCAAUAAAAUAACAACAGAUGUGAGACCAAAUUCAAUGAAUUUCGGUGA